AAAUCUACCUGUGGAAUCAGAGGUAAAUUUUAUAGCAUUUUUCUGAAGGUUUCUCUUGAAGAAGACUUGGACAACAGGCAAAAGCUUCCACAAGAAGGAUCAUAAAUUUGUUGCUUGGUAAUGGAUACACAGAUAUGAAGUGGGUAUUGUGUUACUUUCUGAAGUCUUAGCGUUCUCCUGUCCCAGUUCUCAGUGAUCCAUUUUGCUCACCUAAUAGAGCAGUACCGUAUUUAUUUAUCAGCUACAUACAAGAAAGAUGUAGAUUUAGCUCUUUAUUCUUUCAAGCAAUUACUGCUCUUAUUAUGUUAAAUAGAACCGUGUGGAAAGGAUGAAUGCUUUUAAAGUAUUAUUAUGGAAGCCCACACUGAUAAUGGAAAAACUGAUUCAGAGUAGUUUAGAUUUGGAAGUUAGUUUGGGUAUGUCUUAUCGCAUGCCUGCAACAGGAGCAGCAGAGUUCUUCCUCCUCACACUGUCCAGUUUAUUUUUUAUUUCUUUCAUGGACAGAGUGACAAGCAAAGUGAGGAUGCCCCUUUUUCCCUUUUCUGAAUUUUAGCUGGAUACUGCAUUUUCUGCAUAGUGUUAUACACCCUUAUGUCCACACUUGCUGGGAGAGACAGAAGCUUUUGUCUCUGUUCUUGCUGUUUCUUUGUGAAGAAGUUGUUCUGGUCCAGCAUUUCCUCUUUGAACUGGCAUUUCCCUUCCCCUCCAGGGAAAUGCUGUUGGGAUGACCUGUUCAACCAACGUACCCAGCUGCUGGCUGAAUGCAUCCCAGACAGAGUGCUUUACAUCGUUAUUUAGUGACCUGCUCAUUCUCCUUGUGCUACUAGGUCUGCUGCAGGAUUCACAUAUUGAUUUAUAAAGCCUUCAGUUUGUUAGGCCAUGCUAUCUCCCUGAUGAAUCUCUUUCCCGGAUAGCAUUGAUUAUCCGACACUCCAUGCUUUGAGGUUUCUCAAAAUAAAGUUGUAUUUCUUGAAACUUUUCUCAAAACAAGCUAGGUGGAGUUUCACUAUUCACAUAUUCAUUACAGAAGAAAUUUCUUCCACACUAGUAACCAUGGAGAGAGUUUCACUUUUUUUUUUUUUCAUUUUUUCUUCCAAUAGUAAAGCCCCAAAGGGGGUUUAGAAAAGGGGAUUACUUAGAAAAGUGACAUACUGGUCAAAAUUGGGAACCUUAACUUAAGUCUUUACCUGUGCGUACAUAACUAGUUAGACUUUUUUGUUUUUAAAUUAUUUUUAGCUUGCAAACAUUGUUUACAAAUUACAAAAUUGGCAUUUCAUAAUUACAAAUAAAGGCAGUCCAGCUGAAAUAUCCAUUACAGAAUGUGACAUAAUUUAUGGCUUCCAGCAUGAAGAAUUUGGCAUGGAAAAUAUCUUAUCCUCAAACACUAGCAGGAAUCCAGAGUUGGUGGGUAAAUCUUCAGGUAAGAAUGGCACCAAAAAAAUUGAUAUUCAUGGGAUCUGUGUAAGCAGAAACAAGGAGGGAUGACGUUUUGUUCAGGGAUCACCAUAAAUAUGAACUGAUAUGAAGGUGAUAGCACAGAUAAGAAAACAACUCACAAAAUCAAUUUUUUUUUUUUGUGAAUUUUAAGUGCUCACUGGCCACAUCAAGGAAGAAAUGGACGUCAAAGUGAUAGUUUUUCUAAUGCAAUAAAUUUGGAAUUGGACAUGGAGGAGAAAUGACGUUGUAAAAUACUAGUGGGUCGUAAUUCAGGAUGAAAUAUUAAAGUUUACAAAACCAGAGCCAAAACUGAGAUCUUUUAUGCAGAAAGAGAAAUGCUAAGUUUUAUGCUGCCGCAGUUUAGCCUUUAUUGGUAUUUAAUUAUAUGAAGCUAUUACAGGAUUUUUACCAGCUGCAGACUUCAUGGUUAUUUACUGUGAUAGAAACUGUGAUAGUGUCUAAGAAUCUCUGACUGUGCAUUAGCAGAUGCCAAUAUUGAACAGAAUGAUUGUAAUUUUGGUCAGCUACGAAAUCUUAGAGCAUAAUACACCUUUUCCACAAAUAAUUAAGUGGAGCCUUGGAUAAAUAUAAAUAGUUACCACAUGUAGUUACAACAAAUAACAGUUGCUAUAUACUAGAAGAUUUAUUUGCCAGGAGAAAAAGUCUUAGUUUUUUUAGAAUUCCUUUACCAUGAAAAAUCACAUUUUCUUGGUAUUCACAAUACUGAAUACUAUGCAUUUUCAUCAGCGGUUAACAAGAGCUCUUCAUUUCAUGGUGUGACAAUUGCACAUGGCCGUUCAGAAUGUGGCUUGUCUUUCACAUCACUAUUGCCACUGCUGAAACACAUCACCCACUGACUCACUGUGCUCACAUCCACUGUUUGGUCUCUAGAAACAUUCAGAAGGCAUCAGUGAAUGUCAGCAGGUGUCAUUUUUUCUACAUGAAGGAAUUUAAUCACACAUCUUUCCCUCAUGUGCACUUCCAUGUCAGAUGCCAUUCUGCCAGACUGCCCCUCUGCUGCCACCUGUUGCACGGCAACAUGUAAGGGGAUAUUUGUGGUAAUGUUCAACCUCUACUGCCAUACUAUCAACAUCCACCUCUGACAUCCUGAGCCAACAUAAUAAAAUAGAAGAUGUUACUUUUGGAGUAGCCCUUGUAUAUUUUGAGGAUCAUUAAAUUCAGUUUUUAUCAGAUAUGAUGUUGCUGUCUUUAAUACUUGGAUAAGCAUUUUCCAAAAUAGUGCCUUCAUUUUCCUCUAGUUAUUCUUUUCCCUAAUUUUUUCAUUGCUUCAAAAUUCUUCAGUUCUGUCAGAGGGUAGGUUUAUAGGAAGAGUAUAUUGUUCUUGAUGUUUCUGGAACAAAGAAAAUGCUCCUAGACUUUAAAACUGGGAGUCCUUAUAGUCUCCCAGAUAGAUCCAUUUCAGUACCUAAAGGAGGGCUACAAAAAAGAAGAGUAUAGAUUCAUUAGCAGGGUCUGUGAUGACAGGACAAGGGGAAAUGGUUUCCAGCUAAAAUAGGGGAGACAUAGAUUGGAUAUAAUUGCAACUCCCCUGCUUACUGCAGGGGGGUUGGAUCAGGUGACCUUUAAAGAUCCCUUCCAACUCAAAUGAUGGUAUGGUUCUUUGAAAACCCUUCCUAUAUCCUUUUCCCCUCAGGGAUAUGAAUGUUGUGUACGUAUAUGUUCUGUGAGUGUUCCCUAACUCUGUUUUCUUGUAAAGUCUUUUCAUUUUCAUUAGUCUUUAUCUGCAGGUGUAGUAAAAUUAUAUAGCACAAUAGCACAACUGCACAUGCAUAUAUGCGGAAAAAAACCCCAAAGCAUAAAAUGUGUUCCCAACUGGUUAAUAUAGCAGAGUGAAAAGCAUAAAAUGGCACUGAUGCUUACAAAUGGUGUUGAGAAAAUAAGCUGCAGCAGAGCAAUAGCCAUUUCCCCCAAGAUAACAACCUCCUCUUUCUGUGAUGUGAUAAAGCCAGAAUACCUCAUGCUUAUUCUCUGUGCAUGUUUUUAUUUUCAUUACAUCAGUACCACCUUGUCUGAAAUUAAUUUAAUCAUAAAAAAAAAGACAACUAAAUAAAAUGAUUUAAAACUUUUAUAUAAUUAAAGAGAGUAUUAGGAGUUCCAUGGUGAGGUACUUAUCAUAAUAGAUAACCAUCAUUAUACCUGCUGUUAUUAUAACAUAUUUUAAGUGUAUAAUCGUAUUUCCUUUAAACGUCACCUACUAAAUUUUUUUUGACAACCAUGUUGUCAUCGUCUUUCUUAUAUAUAAGACUGAAUCUAUUUUAGUGAGUUCUUAUGUGAACUCUUGCUGAACAUGUACAAUCAAUGUAAUUUUUGGUUUUGUUUUCUGUGCCAGCAUAUUUUGCUUCCACACUUCAAAGAAAUCAUUCUGUGUCUCAGCAGCAGGUUUAGAGAUGAUAAGCCAGUAUGGAUAUGGAAAAAUUGAACUGAAUUUUCAAAGUAUACCUUAGAAGAGAUGUGCAAUUAUGUGAAGAAAUGCACUAUUGCAGUUCUAUGAAUGUUCUUCAUGUUGUGUUCUGUGUUCCUGAGAGAGUUUUGAAACUGACAAGAUCUAAUGGAGAAACUAAAUUGAAGGAGAACUGGAGAGGUGGUAAUCGCAAGCACAGUAUUUUGGAAGGAUUCCAGAGAUGACCUGUGACUGGAAAGUUCAACCAGUAGACUGAAAUCGAGGAUAUAUGUAAGAAUAUCUGUGCAUUGCUUCUGGAUCUUGAACCUGUGGAUCAAAGAAGACCAUCCACAACUGUACACAGAAAUGGCAUGUGUUCAAACCUUUUGAAGGGAAUUGGAUGGAGCAGGCUGCACCAAACUAUCAUCGUCGUAGGAAGAAAUAUAUCUGAUAUGCCACAAUGAUUGAUAAAAUAUCGUCCAGAGAUGCAUAAGAAUCAAUGUCAUUGAUUCUUAAUGACAGCAAAGAUAUCCAGGAAAAAAGACUACUAGGACAAAAUAUUAUGACAUGUGCAUUACUUAUACUUGUAUAAAAUAUGGUCUUGACAGUAGGAGAACAGCUUAAUAAAGAAACAGCUUUCUGGUAA